AUGAGAAUCUUGUCUGGCUCCUCCAAGAGAAGACAAAUGGGCCGGAGUUGCAGGGCAUAUCUGAUCGAAAUGGAACCCAAACAUCCAGGCAUCAGAAGGAGGCAAGAGACAGAGAACUACAUAGUUCUGCGAAGCUCAGCAGAGACCUGCCCCUUUAGUAAACCAGAGGUCUCCAUCUGUGUUUGGAGUAAAAGCUGGAAACCAGAAAAGAGAAGCUGCUUUGGUAAAAGUCAAAAGGAACUCAGCCUAGGCCAGGGGAAGUCCAGAAUGAAAGUGGGUUGUUGCCAUGGCAACAGAAUACAAGGCAGAGAACUCCAGAGAAGGGGGAGGUCUCUAUACCCAAGGCCACAGCCACAAGAAAGCCCCAGGCCCCAGAGUGGUGGCAGCAAAGAGAAGCAACCUGCUAUGACUUCACACUGCCAGAUGGCCCGCUGUUGACACAGGGUUCCCCCCAACUGCUAAUUAUUUGCAUAACUCCGGAUCAUUCAUUCAAAGGAAAAUGAAGAAUUCACUAAAAUAUGCAUUGAUAUAGUUACCAGUCUUUCUCUUUGAACAGCCUAGCAUUGGAAACUAUCUCCCAACACUUAACACAGUGCCUUAUGCAUAGAAGCCACUUAAGAAGGGUGUAUUUAGCUAUUUACCAGAUCUCUUCUUGAGCCAGGUAUGGCUCAAGAUACAGAGAUGAAAAAGACAAGGUUCCUCUCCUCAGAGUGCUCACUGUUCAGUGGGUAGACAUGCAUCUAUAAUCUAGACCAUGCAACCUUACGCUCCAGCCUGAUGCUACAGCCUGGCCCAGGGUCGGGGGUUGGGGGGGAUUCAGAAGACAGGCGUACCCUGGAGGAGAACACAGGGCAGGGGAGAAAGGCGGGCAGGGUACGUGCCACACGAUCCGAGUCCUGAAGGAUGAAUAAGGAGCUAAGUGUGCUCCUUGUUUGUUUGUUGUUUGUUUUUGUCUGCUUGCUCUGAGAUACUCCUAGCAGAGAGGAUGGCAAGAGCAGAGGCCCAAAGGUAAACAAUAGCACCAUCCCUGUCGGAAAGCAUAUGCAGUUAGCUAUUUUGAACAAGAAUGUGCAAGGCAGGGGAUGGCAGGGGCUGAAACUGGAGACACAGGUAACUAAAGUGUCCACAGACCAUGGAAGUCCCUCCCCUGGGGGACCCUGGAUUGUAGUCUGGGCAAUGGAGCCACAAACAUGGCAAAGCUUACUUUUCUGGAAGGACCCCUUCGUAGCAGUGUGGAGAAUUGCUUAGCAGAUCACACUGUAAUCAAGAGAGGGCCAGUUCCAAGGCUGCUUCACACACUGAGGUAAGAAAUAAUCAGAGCUUGAAUCAGAGUAGGGUAUUAGGGAUGGAAAGGGUGAAGACAGAUGCUAGAAACAUUGACUAAGUAAAAUCACAUAGCUCCUCAGCAUGACUCACCUCCCUCCCCCCAAAUCCCAAA
rnacentral:lncRNA from 12 species